AUUGAACGCUGGCGGCAUGCCUAACACAUGCAAGUCGAACGGCAGCACGGUCUAGCUUGCUAGAUGGGUGGCGAGUGGCGAACGGGUGAGUAACGCGUAGGAAUAUGCCUUGAAGUGGGGGACAACUUGGGGAAACUCAAGCUAAUACCGCAUAAUUUCUUAGGAAAAAAGCUGGGGACCUUAGGGCCUGGCGCUUCAAGAUUAGCCUGCGUACGAUUAGCUAGUUGGUAGGGUAAGAGCCUACCAAGGCGACGAUCGUUAGCUGGUCUGAGAGGAUGGCCAGCCACACUGGAACUGAGACACGGUCCAGACUCCUACGGGAGGCAGCAGUGGGGAAUAUUGGACAAUGGGGGCAACCCUGAUCCAGCAAUGCCGCGUGUGUGAAGAAGGCCUGAGGGUUGUAAAGCACUUUCAGUGGGGAGGAGGAUUGCCAGGUUAAGAGCUAGGUAAUUGGACGUUACCCACAGAAGAAGCACCGGCUAACUCCGUGCCAGCCGCCGCGGUAA
rnacentral:rRNA from 1 species